GCCGAAGUGGCGGAAUUGGUAUACGCGUACGCUUCAGGAGCGUAUGGGGAAACCCAUGGAGGUUCAACUCCUCUCUUCGGCA
rnacentral:tRNA from 1 species